rnacentral:rRNA from 1 species
GACGAACGCUGGCGGCGUGCUUAACACAUGCAAGUCGAACGGAAAGGCCCUGCUUUUGUGGGGUGCUCGAGUGGCGAACGGGUGAGUAACACGUGAGUAACCUGCCCUUGACUUUGGGAUAACUUCAGGAAACUGGGGCUAAUACCGGAUAGGAGCUCCUGCUGCAUGGUGGGGGUUGGAAAGUUUCGGCGGUUGUGGAUGGACUCGCGGCUUAUCAGCUUGUUGGUGGGGUAGUGGCUUACCAAGGCUUUGACGGGUAGCCGGCCUGAGAGGGUGACCGGCGACAUUGGGACUGAGAUACGGCCCAGACUCCUACGGGAGGCAGCAGUGGGGAAUAUUGCACAAUGGGCGGAAGCCUGAUGCAGCAACGCCGCGUGCGGGAUGACGGCCUUCGGGUUGUAAACCGCUUUCGCCUGUGACGAAGCGUGAAUGACGGUAAUGGGUAAAGAAGCACCGGCUAACUACGUG